GGCCUGAUGGUCUAGUAGUAUGAUUCCUUGUUAGGGUCUUCACGUGAUCCUUGAUUACGUAAUGGCGUUCGAGGAGGUCCCGGGUUCAAUUCCCGGUUAGGCCC